ACAAUGCAAACAGGCGCAGUGUCGCUUUUCCUGGUCAUCCUUUGGGUUCUGGUCUGGCACAUGAAGUCUGAUUUCAAUGGCAAUGCUUUGAGAUCAUUAAUGCGGUGAACACACAUGUUACUGAAAAAUAGGCCAACUAUAUAAAUUGCUUAUUGGAGGGUGGCUGUAUGUCAAGUUGUAGUAUCCACACUGCAUCUCUUUUAAUCCUUUUAAAGAUCUUUUUUAAUUUAGGAGCUAGGCCUAUUAGCUGGAACACCCGUUGGAACUUCACUUAUUGAUGCCCAUGCUGCUGGUGUUGGAGUUAUGAAAAGUGUUGGGUUAAAAAUGGAUCACUCAAAGCACGUGAUCAAUUUGCCGGCACUUGAUGACGAAUGUGACGACAGCAAGCAUACUCUCAGAGCGCCCGACCUCAGAACACUCGGUCUCGGCACCAACGACCCCGGAGCUCAUAACCUCGAUUCCGGCUGAGUUAAGCUCGAUCGAUCUUAAAGCCAAGAAAGACCCAGUCAAAGGGAGAAGCGGACCUCCCCACUCCAUUGAAAAUCAAGUCCUCCUCCUCCAUAUCUGGGAUCAAAUCUCGCAAUCUCCGCCUCAACGGCUGUCAACAUUCAUAUCCGCAUGAUCUCAACGGAUCGCCAGCUAGCCCGAAAUCUCGAGCCGAUUACGGUAACUCAUUAACUUGCACGAUCACGUCCGAUCAUAGGUAACCGCUACACCCCCUCUUUUAAAAAGGGGGAGAGCUCUAAGCAAGGGACUUCUUCUUACCCUCGGGCCAAAAAAUAGAUUCAUACUUUGCUUAUCUCCAUUACUUCUCUCCACAAAAACCUCCUCUCUGACUUAAGCAUCGGAGAACCUGUGCCGGAACCUCCGGCUACAGAUUUCUUGCAGGUCCGCCGGAGAUAGCCGUCCGCCACCACACAACCAGCUGGAGCGCCUCCUCCUCGGUCCGCGGUCACCUCCGGGUCCAAUUUCCAGCAACAGAAAGCACGCCUAUAUUAGAGUCCAAAGCAGAUGUGUCGGCUGAGGAAGUCAUAUGUCAUCGCAUGGCUUUAGUAUGAGGAACAUCUACUUGCCCAAUGGUGCCUGAAUACUGGCUCACUGAAGGUGGUCAAAGUGCAACUGGUGUCCUUCUAGAUUACAUGGUUGAGAACCAUGUUGCUGCUCCUCUCCUUGCCAACCGUGCUGCUUCGCAAAGUAGGUUUCCUGGUUUGUAUCUGAAGAGAGAUGAUGAUACCAGAAAACUAAUGUUUCAAGGGGCGACUUGCAUGAUGAUACCAGAGGAACUUUGUUUAUUGCAUGACCGGUGCCUUGUGUCGGUCAAGCUUUCCAGUGGACAAUAUUAAUUAGAGAGCUGGCUGAGUUGCUGAUAAUUUUCCUCCCCAAAUCUCUUGGUAAAUCAAAUGUUGUUGUAUUAAUGGAUGGUAACUCUGUUUCACUUGCUGAAGAAAUACAAUGACCAUACCAUUUCUACUUUUUUUUUUUAA